GACGAACGCUGGCGGCGUGCUUAACACAUGCAAGUCGAACGGAAAGGCCCUGCUUUUGUGGGGUGCUCGAGUGGCGAACGGGUGAGUAACACGUGAGUAACCUGCCCUUGACUUUGGGAUAACUUCAGGAAACUGGGGCUAAUACCGGAUAGGAGCUCCUGCUGCAUGGUGGGGGUUGGAAAGUUUCGGCGGUUGGGGAUGGACUCGCGGCUUAUCAGCUUGUUGGUGGGGUAGUGGCUUACCAAGGCUUUGACGGGUAGCCGGCCUGGGAGGGUGACCGGCCACAUUGGGACUGAGAUACGGCCCAGACUCCUACGGGAGGCAGCAGUGGGGAAUAUUGCACAAUGGGCGGAAGCCUGAUGCGGCCACGCCGCGUGCGGGAUGACGGCCUUCGGGUUGUAAACCGCUUUCGCCUGUGACGAAGCGUGAGUGACGGUAAUGGGUAAAGAAGCACCGGCUAACUACGUG
rnacentral:rRNA from 1 species